GCAACACUAUUGGUUAGUUUCUCUGUGUUAUCUCCGGCUCUCCGCCGCGAAAACCAAACGCAAAUUUCCAAAUCCCCGAGCCCCUCAACGCGUCCGACGCAGCGGCCGCCGGCCGCCUUCCAUGGCCUCGUCUCUACCUCAGGCGGCCGUGAGGGCAUAUGCUCUCGGUCUCGGGCAGCACGGUCGAAGGCUUCAUCGUCGGCGAGGUUAAUCCCCAAAGGUUCGCAAUGACGCACUCUACCCUCCGCUCUGCGCUCUGCUUCGCCGCAUGAUCCUAGCUGUUGCAUCCUCUGCAGCCCCGCGGUUUCUCUUUGGAGCAAAGAUGAGGAGAAUCAAUACGGUGAUAAUUCACUAAGGUGAAAUCCAAUUUCUGCAGUAUUUUUGGCAUUGGGGAACUCGUGGAUGUAGUAGUAGUACUAGUGUACUCCCUCCAUCCUAUAAAAAACGAAUCUAAAACCGAAUAUAAUACAUAUGAAUCUAAAUAUCUGAAUAUAUAUAUAUAUUCAGAUUCAUACUACUAAGAUAUAUCAUAUCCGGUUUUAGAUUCGGUUUUUAUGGGACGAAGGGAGUAAAUAUAUAACGAGAGUACUCUCUGGUGUGGCCUUUUUGCUCCUUCUCAACUAUUUUCUCCUUUUUCACACAUGCUUUUAAACUGCUAAAUAAUAUAUUUUUUAAAAUAUCUAUAGAAAAGUUGCUUUAAAAAUAUAUUAAUUUAUUUUUAAAAAUUUUAAACUAAUAAAUUUAUACUUAUGUGCUAAUCCAUUACUCUAUUUUAAUGUGUGGCACCAAACCAAACAACCUAUUAGUUUUCAAACUACACUAACGAACACAGCGUGUGUAAUUUAGGGCUUUAGGGACAGAGGUAGUAUUUGCCAUGUACUGAGGUACAUAGUGCUGAGUGCUACUAUGCAUCAUUGGUCUCUAAGCCAUUGUAUAACAAUAGUAUAUUUUGAACAUCUAGGGUGAAUACAAUUUUUCUUUUCAUAUGGGUUUUAUCUUAUUCUCAAAGACAUAACUAUAAGGAAGGGGGAUAAAAAAAUAAUCUCAUAAGGGAUAGGAUUAAUUUUCUAUACUUGACAAUAGGGAAUAUAUUUUUUGUAGAAAAUAUUGGCGCCACACUAUCAAUAAUAGAUUGUUUUUCCAUUUUACCCCCUUGAAGGUCCAACCAUAGGUUUUUGUUUUCUUUUUCAAAACUAAGGUGUUUCCCAUGAUGGCAUGAUGGGUGAGAAUUUUCUGUAGUGUUAGCUUGAUAUUAAGAUAUCUGUAGUGAUUAGAUAUUUUUGAACUAUAAUUGUUCUUGACGUCUCGCUUCUAAGCUAAGGGCAUUUUAAUUAUUUUCUAUAGAAAAGUUUUAAUUCCAUAGGACGUGUAUUGCUUAUAUAUAUAUAUAUAUAUAUAUAUAUAUAUAUAUAUAUAUAUAUAUAUAUAUAUAUAUAUAUAUAUAUAAUUUUGAGAACUUCACAAAGAGGCCAAACGGGUCAAGUUCAAUGGAACACCAAUUAUCAUAAGAAAAAUGGUGUGCAGAAAUAAAGCUCUUAAUAAUGUCAAGAGAGAUUAGAACAUUGUUAAGAACAAAGCAGCAAUUAGCACUACGCCGGACCAGGUCAUCUCUAACGGGCCCAAACCCUCACCUUUGACGGGUUUGGUCUUGGUCAGUGAUUAGUGGUCACUGAUGACAAAAUCACCUGUGACGGAUGAAACACCCGUCACAGAUAACCCAUCUCUGACCGGUAUAUAAGUCAUCUCUGACGGGUUAAAACUUGUCACCCGUCACAGAUGAGUCAUCAGUGACGUGUCGUAACUACCUAACCGUCACUGAUGACUCAUCUCUGACGGGUUGUAACUUACGACCCGUCACUGAUGACAAAGCAAGAAAUACAAUUUUUGAAUUUUAAACGUAUCAAAAAACCUAAAAAAAAUAUUUUGAAUUUUACUAGCCAUCCUAUACAUGGUUACACAUCACUACCUACAAAUUCACAAUUUUUCACGCAAUAUAACUUGUAUGCUACACGUGAGAUUCGAACUCAAGACCUCAACCUCCAUAUAGAGCUCCCUUACCAACUCACCUACUCAACACAUAUUGAUUACUCAUCCAAUGUUAUUAUUUUGUCUAUGCUUGUCUGAAUCAUUUAACAUAUAUUUAACACCCUAAAUGACUUCAAAUGAAAAUAUUAUCAACUAAGUAGUUAUAGAUCUUAUCGUGUUUUAUAACUUUUACAUAGAAAAUAUCUUCAUCCGAUGUUGUUUGAAGAAUUCAAAAUUUCAUUUUUCAAAAUAUAUCUCACUUUAUAACAUGUAAAUUUUGUGAAAUGAAAAUAUUUUCAAUUAUAAUGUUGUAGAUCUGGUUGAGUUCUAUGACUUUGAUACGGGGCAUGUAUCCAUCCAUGUCAUUUGAAAAAAAACUCAAAAUUUUGUUUUUAAAAGUAGAUCUGAUCACUUGUAAUGCAUGUUCGGGGAUGUAAACGAUCUCUAAUAGAAAUGUUGUUAGUUAUAAAGUUGUGGAUAUCAUUGAGAGCUACAACUUUUAUAUAGGACAUGUUUCAAUUCGAGGUUUUUUGCAAAAUUUAAAAAUUUGAAUUUUCACUCAUCACUGACGGGUCAUAACUACCACCCGUCAGAGAUAACAUUAUCUGUGACGUGUGUUAGUUAAAGACCCGUCAGAGAUGAGUGGUCUCUUUUGUGAUGGUUCAUAAUACUACACCCGUCACAGAUGACAUGUCAUCUAUGACGAGCCAUGGUUGUGACCCGUCACAGACGAUCUGUGACGGGUUACAAGUGCAAGCCGUCACAGAUGACUUCACAUCUGUGACGGGUCCUCCCUGGUAGCCAUAUAUUGAAGAGGAUAUUUUUUUGGCCCGUCAGAGAUUACUUAUCUUUGACGAGUUGCGUUGGCCCGUCACAGAUGACCCGUCACUGAAGCCCGGAUCUAUAGUAGUGUAGGAUAGUGUAAGUAAGCACGUCCAACGGAAGUAAUAGGGAGAAGACAGCCACUGCCAACAAUAAUAUGAGAGGGGGUAUUGUCGGUGGAGCUGUGAGUAGUGAAGAGGGUACCGGUGUUGUGACACAAUCAACAGUAUCGCCGAUGAUGGUAGCAAUGACGGUGUCAUCAACCUGCAAACCUAGGGCCGUCUGGAAGGAGGAGCGGAAUGCGUUUUAUAUCAUAGUCAUAAGGAGGAGCGGACUGCGUUGGCGAUGAUCUUGAUUGUGUCGUCGAGGACAGAGUCUAUAGGGAGUUGGGAGGAGGAGACCAGGGCGGCGAGAGAUGUCGGCCUGCCAGGUUAGGGUUUGAGAUGCGAAAAUAAGAAACCUAAUAUGAUAUCAUAAGAGUGUGAUAGGACUCAGCGCAAUCGAUUGUAAUACCAAUAGAGCGGUGUACAUAUAGGCUCGUACGUUCCGUUAUCUCCACAACCGAUUUAUAGCAACAGUAUUGAGAGAGAUAGCGGAAAAUAUGUAAAAAAAAUAAAUAAAUAUGAGAUAUACAAAAUCUAACAAGUUUUAUAACACUUGAAAAAUAGAUAUAUUUGUUAUUUUAAAACAACUUUUAUAUAGAAAGUUUUCGCACAAAACGCGCCGUUUUGUAAUUUGAAAAGCGUGCUAACGGAAAAUAAGAUAAAAUCUUUAUCUUUAUGAAGAGAGAAAAGUCUGUAUUUUAUCUGGCCUUGGUUUGACUUUGUCCUUCAAUUAGAAGAACAUUAAAAUGUUCACUAUUCAUCCCCCAACUCUUAUAACUGUCUAUAUUUCAUCCCUGAUCCAAAUCGGAACUCUUAGAAGUGAUUGGCGCCCAUAGAUGAAAUAUGGUCAAUUUCAAAAGUUGAUAAUGGAGACCGAUCUUAUAGUCGAGGGAUCAAAAUCUACUAAGGUCAUAGUUAAGGGAUCAAAUUUGGAUUUUUCCUUAAAGUAACAACAAAAUCAAUUAUAUAUUCACUAUUCACCUCACAUGCAUGGGUACAUGUCUACAUGACAAAGCUUUUAAAACAGUACUACAUAGCUACUAUAGAUCUUGUAAAGAGCUGUGCUUGAAUUCUAUAGCAGCUAUCAUUAUAAGCCGGAUCAGACAAAACGAAUGAACGAAUGAAUCUACCGCUAUAUACUGCACUAGUCACUUCAAUACUUUAUAUUUAUCGUAAUGUUCUAUUCUUCGCUUUUGCUGUACUAACAAAUGUACGUUCUUGUCUCCAGUAAAUUAAUUGUGGUGCCGAAAAACGGCUUUCAGACGUCAGGUGUAAGCCAGUGGAAUCCGUUGACGAAGC
rnacentral:lncRNA from 1 species